rnacentral:rRNA from 1 species
CGAAGGGUGCAAGCGUUGCUCGGAAUUAUUGGGCGUAAAGGGUAGGUAGGUGGUUACGUAUGUCUGGGGUGAAAUCCCUGAGCUCAACUCAGGAAGUGCCUUGGAAACGGCGUAACUAGAGUGCUAGAGAGGUUCGUGGAAUUCCCAGUGUAGCGGUGAAAUGCGUAGAGAUUGGGAGGAACACCAGAGGCGAAGGCGGCGAACUGGAUAGCAACUGACACUGAACUACGAAAGCGUGGGUAGCAAACAGGAUUAGAUACCCUGGUAGUCCACGCUGUAAACGAUGGGCACUAGGCUUCGUGGGAGUUGACCCCUGCGGAGCCGGAGCUAACGCAAUAAGUACCCCGCCUGGGAAGUACGGUCGCAAGACUA